rnacentral:rRNA from 1 species
CCCUUAGAUGUCCGGGGCCGCACGCGCGCUACACUGAAGGAAUCAGCGUGGCUUUCUCCCUGACCCGAAAGGGUUGGGAAACCCGUUGAAUCUCCUUCGUGAUAGGGAUUGGGGCUUGAAAUUGUUCCCCAUGAACGAGGAAUCCCCAGUAAGCGCGAGUCAUAAGCUCGCGUUGAUUACGUCCCUGCCCUUUGUACACACCGCCCGUCGCUACUACCGAUUGAACGGUUUAGUGAGGGCCUCGGAUUGGUCUCGGCCCGCUCUUUACCGGGCGGCGCCGUUGGUCGAGAAGACGCUCGAACUUGAUCGUUUAGAGGAAGUAAAAGUCGUAACA